rnacentral:rRNA from 1 species
GAAGGUGCCUCGGGCGAGACGCCAGCCUAAGUUCCUUGGGACGGGACGUCGCAGAGGGUGAGAAUCCCGUACGUGGCCGGCCGUCAGCCCCGUGUGAGGCCCUUUCGGCGAGUCGAGUUGUUUGGGAAUGCAGCUCCAAAUGGGUGGUAAAUUUCAUCUAAAGCUAAAUACCGGCCAGAGACCGAUAGCGCACAAGUAGAGUGAUCGAAAGAUGAAAAGCACUUUGAAAAGAGAGUAAAACAGUACGUGAAAUUGUUGAAAGGGAAGGGCUCGCGGCCAGACUCGCGCGCGGGGGACCAACCGCCCCCAGGGGUGGCGCGCUCCCCCGCGGUCGGGCCAGCAUCGGUUUCGGCGGCCCGACAAAGGCCCCGGGAAUGUAGUUCCCUCCGGGGAACGUUAUAGCCCGGGGCGGCAUGGGGCCCGCCGGGACCGAGGACGGCGCCUGGUGCUAGGAUGCUGGCGUAAUGGCCGCAAGCCGCCCGUCUUGAAACACGGACCAAGGAGUCAAUCUGCCCGGCGAGUGUUGGGGCGUAAAACCCCGGCGCGCAGUGAAAGCGAACGGAGGUGGGAGCCCUCGGGCGCACCAUCGACCGAUCCUGAUGUCUUCGGAUGGAUUCGAGUAGGAGCCGGGCGGAUUGGACCCGAAAGAUGGUGAGCUAUGCGCGGGCAGGCCGAAGCCAGAGGAAACUCUGGUGGAGGGCCGCAGCGGUUCUGACGUGCAAAUCGAUCGUCAAACCUGCGUAUAGGGGCGAAAGACUAAUCGAACCAUCUAGUAGCUGGUUCUCGCCGAAGUUUCCCUCAGGAUAGCAGCAACGAAAACAGUCUCAUGAGGUAGAGCGAACGAUUAGAGGCCUUGGGGCCGAAA